rnacentral:rRNA from 1 species
UGGGGAAUUUUGGACAAUGGGCGAAAGCCUGAUCCAGCAAUGCCGCGUGUGUGAAGAAGGCCUUCGGGUUGUAAAGCACUUUUGUCCGGAAAGAAAUCCUUGGCUCUAAUACAGUCGGGGGAUGACGGUACCGGAAGAAUAAGCACCGGCUAACUACGUGCCAGCAGCCGCGGUAAUACGUAGGGUGCAAGCGUUAAUCGGAAUUACUGGGCGUAAAGCGUGCGCAGGCGGUUUGCUAAGACCGAUGUGAAAUCCCCGGGCUCAACCUGGGAACUGCAUUGGUGACUGGCAGGCUAGAGUAUGGCAGAGGGGGGUAGAAUUCCACGUGUAGCAGUGAAAUGCGUAGAGAUGUGGAGGAAUACCGAUGGCGAAGGCAGCCCCCUGGGCCAAUACUGACGCUCAUGCACGAAAGCGUGGGGAGCAAACAGGAUUAGAUACCCUGGUAGUCCACGCCCUAAACGAUGUCAACUAGUUGUUGGGGAUUCAUUUCCUUAGUAACGUAGCUAACGCGUGAAGCUGACCGCCUGGGGAGUACGGUCGCAAGAUUAAAACUCAAAUGAAUUGAC